UGGAGCAGAUGGAUGGCCGCUCCCACACAUAAGUGUGGGGGAGGAAAGUCCGGACUCCAGAGGGCAGGGUGCUUCCUAACAGGAAGGAGGGGCGACCUUACGGAUAGUGCCACAGAAAAUAUACCGCCCCGCACAUAUAAUGAAGCAUGAAAAUUUGCCACAGAGAAUACAGAAGAAAAACUAAAUUUUUUGACACAGAUUUACACUGAUUAUUUAUGGUUUUUAUGGUUCUUUAUUUCUGUGUUAAUCAUAAUUUAUCUGUGUCUUUCAGUGUCUUUAUUUUUUUUCUUUCUCUGUGACCUCUGUGGUUAAUCAUGUUUUUGUUCUUUCAUGUUUCAUGGUGUGCGGGGUAAGGGUGAAAAGGCGAGGUAAGAGCUCACCGCCAUGGUGGUGACAUCAUGGGCAUGGAAAACCCCACCCGGAGCAAGGCUAAAUAGGAAGGCGAUAGGACUGCCCGUCCGAUGUCUUCGGGUAAGCCGCUAAACCUUUAUGGCGACAUAAAGGGCAGAUAAAUGGUCAUCUCCCACUUUAAGUGGUGGACAGAAUCCGGCUUAUAAUCUGCUCCAGCAA
rnacentral:RNase_P_RNA from 1 species